UGGAAAUUCUAUUUCUAGUGAUUGGAAUGAUGGGAAUCCAAACCCCUUUCAGAGUAACAAUUGGAGGGCAAGUCUGGCGCCAGCAGCCGCGGUAAUCCCAGCUCCAAUAGCGUAUAUUAAAGUUGUUGCAGUUAAAAGCUCGUAGUUGUAUCUGCUGGAAGCAAUCAGUCCGCCCUUUUAGUGAGGGUGUGUACUUGAUGAAUUCUGGCAUG
rnacentral:rRNA from 1 species